AUGAACGCUGGCGGCGUGCCUCAUACAUGCCAGUCGAGCGAACGGACGAGAAGCUUGCUUCUCUGAUGUUAGCGGCGGACGGGUGAGUAACACGUGGAUAACCUACCUAUAAGACUGGGAUAACUUCGGGAAACCGGAGCUAAUACCGGAUGAUAUUUUGAACCGCAUGGUUCCAAAGUGAAAGACGGUCUUGCUGUCACUUAUAGAUGGAUCCGCGCUGCAUUAGCUAGUUGGUAAGGUAACGGCUUACCAAGGCAACGAUGCAUAGCCGACCUGAGAGGGUGAUCGGCCACACUGGAACUGAGACACGGUCCAGACUCCUACGGGAGGCAGCAGUAGGGAAUCUUCCGCAAUGGGCGAAAGCCUGACGGAGCAACGCCGAGUGAGUGAUGAAGGUCUUCGGAUCGUAAAACUCUGUUAUUAGGGAAGAACAUAUGUGUAAGUAACUGUGCACAUCUUGACGGUACCUAAUCAGAAAGCCACGGCUAACUACGUG
rnacentral:rRNA from 1 species